ACGUUUGAGAAAUUCGUGUUUCUUUGAGUCGUACUUACAGUUUUCUCCUGAGGUGAAAGACUGUUUGACCUGUGAGAAAUAUCUGCAACAAUGGUUCUGCUGGUUUCCCACGUGUCUGGAUCUCGGAGAACAUGGUGCCUGGAGAACAAAUGUAUGACAGGAGCUGAUAUUUUUGAAGCUCUUGUGGGGAGAGAGGGGGAGAUCCAAGAUGUUGUCCUGCAAUCCAAAGGGCAAAUCCUGUCUCA